UAGUAGGACCUGAGGAAGACGCCCCCAAGGAUCCACAGGGACUGGCCACUGCUGGAGGGCAGGUUCUCGGGCUAAACUCCCAUCAGACUCAGGUCUGAGAACUUCCAGGCCAAGUCAGAGCCCCGGGGAAAACUCCCACAUCCUGGGGCACAGAGUGGCCUGCAGCCCGGCUCACCCUCAGAGUGUCAUAGCCGUAGACGCCACGGAGGCUGCCGCUGCCAUACUGCACGGAGAAGGUCUGCCCAUGGCUGGAGAGACACGCGCUGAGAACUUAGUAAGCAGCGGAGUGGAGUGACAUGGAAAGACUAUUGUCGACUUUGGUGAGAC